CUCAUACUAGGGAAUAGCCCGAAGAAAUUUGGAUUAAUGCCCUAUAGUAUCUUUUUAAGGCAUCUUAUUAAGAUUAAAGGUUACGGUAUGAGAUGAGUAUGCGUUCUAUUAGCUAGUAGGUGUGGUAACGGCACACCUAGGCUACGAUAGAUAGGGGCCCUGAGAGGGGGAUCCCCCACACUGGUACUGAGACACGGACCAGACUCCUACGGGAGGCAGCAGUAAGGAAUAUUGGUCAAUGGACGAAAGUCUGAACCAGCCAUGCCGCGUGCAGGAUGACUGCCCUAUGGGUUGUAAACUGCUUUUAUAUAGGAAGAAAAACUUUCUCGUGAGAAAGCUUGACGGUACUAUAAGAAUAAGGAUCGG
rnacentral:rRNA from 1 species